GGGAAGACAUCACAUUGUCUUUUCAUAUUUUGAAAGAUGAGCCUUCAAGAUACAUGAGAACUUGAAAUAAUAAAUCUCUGCAUAGUGGAAGCUCUUAUCUUUCAUGGAAUUCUUGGUUCCACCAUGCAGUUGGUAUGCACUUCCAACUGACUAUUAGGAAUUUUUGAUUAAGAAUAGAUCUAGCAUUGUGAUUUAUAAUGAAGAGAAUAUUGAUAAUAUUUUGCUGACCACGCAGCUUCAAGGAUCUCUAUUAGAUCAUUUUAAGAAGGAAGAAGGUAUUAUAGACAUUGAUUCGUAUGGCCCUGAGUUCAAAAGUAAAGGUUCUUUCUCCCUUGGAGCAUGCUGUGGUUUUGAUAAACAACGGUAAUGAUAAACAACACUGAAAUUGCUCAUUAAUAUAAUAUCACUGCUGAACUUUGUUUUUUUCUCUUGAUGAGCACAACUGAGUUUUUGAAGCAGAAAAAGGCUUGCAAUUAACCCUAUUAUUUACAGCCAUUGUGAUUUGUCAGCAGAGUCUAACACUUGCUGGGUCAAAUGGUGUCUGAAGAAGUGUUUGUCAUUUAUUUUCUCUGCUUGAUCUCUUUAUGUCGAAUAAAUGUACCCAAUAGAAAUAAAAUAUGACGUGCCAUGAGUGAUGAAUCACGUUGCUAGGCAUUCCAUGUAGCUGAUCCUUUUAAUAAUUUAAAAUAUUUUUUCAGUUUUAGAACUUUAGAAAUUAAAACUCAAAAGAUUUUCUCUGAACGUUAAUGUAUAAAAGCAGUUAAUGUAUAUGUCUAUACUCCUGAAAUUAUAUAUUCGUUUUUAAAUAAUAGCAUGCUUUCUACUUCAAUUAAUUUCUAAUUUAAGCUUAAUUCCAAGAGUUGUAUAAGUGUUAUACCAAAGAUACUUCAGUUCCCUGAUACUAUUCAUGCAAACCACUUGUGAGAUGUCUGAUUGGUUGACUGUAUUUUUUAAGAUGAAUUGAUGCCAGCUAUACUUAUGAGUCAAUUUGAUACCAAUAUAUACUACAAUUUAAGAGAUUGGUAGAAGUAAGGCUAUUGCCAAUGACGUUAUUUUUAUUUCAAAAAAAUAUCAAACAGGUUUACAAAAAUUGUGACUUAUUUUAAAAUAUUUAUUUGAAAAUUUAUAUUUUUAAAUUAAAUUGCUUUGAAAUUUACUUGUGUUAUCCAUAGAGUGGUUAUGAAAUUUGUAAGGAAGUUUAGUUUUUAGUAUACUAAAGAGUCAAAUUUAAACUAAAAUCAUC
rnacentral:lncRNA from 1 species